rnacentral:rRNA from 1 species
UUUUGCAUAAUGAGCCUGCGAGUUGUGGUGUCUGGCAAGGUUAAGCAAACGCGAAGCCGUAGCGAAAGCGAGUCUGAAUAGGGCGCUUAGUCAGAUGCUGCAGACCCGAAACGAAGUGAUCUAUCCAUGAGCAAGUUGAAGCUAGUGUAAGAACUAGUGGAGGACUGAACCCAUAGGCGUUGAAAAGCCCCGGGAUGACUUGUGGAUAGGGGUGAAAGGCCAAUCAAACUUCGUGAUAGCUGGUUCUCUCCGAAAUAUAUUUAGGUAUAGCGUUGUGUCGUAAUAUAAGGGGGUAGAGCACUGAAUGGGCUAGGGCAUACACCAAUGUACCAAACCCUAUCAAACUCCGAAUACCUUAUAUGUAAUCACAGCAGUCAGGCGGCGAGUGAUAAAAUCCGUCGUCAAGAGGGAAACAACCCAGACUACCAGCUAAGGUCCCUAAAUCUUACUUAAGUGGAAAACGAUGUGAAGUUACUUAAACAACCAGGAGGUUGGCUUAGAAGCAGCCAUCCUUUAAAGAAAGCGUAAUAGCUCACUGGUCUAGUGAUUUUGCGCGGAAAAUAUAACGGGGCUAAAGUAAGUACCGAAGCUGUAGACUUAGUUUACUAAGUGGUAGGAGAGCGUUCUAUUUGCGUCGAAGGUAUACCGGUAAGGAGUGCUGGAGCGAAUAGAAGUGAGCAUGCAGGCAUGAGUAGCGAUAAUUAAUGUGAGAAUCAUUAACGCCGUAAACCCAAGGUUUCCUACGCGAUGCUCGUCAUCGUAGGGUUAGUCGGGUCCUAAGUCGAGUCCGAAAGGGGUAGACGAUGGCAAAUUGGUUAAUAUUCCAAUACCAACAUUAGUGUGCGAUGGAAGGACGCUUAGGGCUAAGGGGGCUAGCGGAUGGAAGUGCUAGUCUAAGGUCGUAGGAGGUUGUACAGGCAAAUCCGUAUAACAAUACUCCGAGAACUGAAAGGCUUUUUGAAGUCUUCGGAUGGAUAGAAGAACCCCUGAUGCCGUCGAGCCAAGAAAAGUUUCUAAGUUUAGCUAAUGUUGCCCGUACCGUAAACCGACACAGGUGGGUGGGAUGAGUAUUCUAAGGCGCGUGGAAGAACUCUCUUUAAGGAACUCUGCAAAAUAGCACCGUAUCUUCGGUAUAAGGUGUGGUUAGCUUCGUA